rnacentral:lncRNA from 1 species
AUUCUACAGUCUCACAGUUGCAUGUUAUGGUGAAGACCACUGAAAUAUGAGGAAUCAAUAGGAAAUACAAAAAAGGAGAAUGUAGUCUAAUGAAAGAUAUCCUAUGAGCUGCAUUCGUGAUACCCCUUAUGGCAGUACUCUCUUAACUGGUCUUCAAAGUAAUGUUAGUCAGAGUCUGUGUUAUUUAGCAGUCUUUUACAGCUCGCUGGAAGAUCAUCAAGUCACCAGACCUAAGGACAUGCUCAGGAAUACAACAGACUAA